rnacentral:rRNA from 1 species
UACGGAGGGUGCAAGCGUUGCUCGGAAUUAUUGGGCGUAAAGGGUAGGUAGGUGGUCUCGUUUGUCUGGGGUGAAAGCCUUGAGCUUAACUCAAGAAGUGCCCCAGAAACGGCGAGACUAGAGUUCUGGAGAGGGUCGUGGAAUUCCCGGUGUAGCGGUGAAAUGCGUAGAGAUCGGGAAGAACAUCGGUGGCGAAAGCGCUCUACUGGACGGUAUCUGACACUGAGGGACGAAAGCUAGGGGAGCGAAUGGG